ACGGGAGGCAGCAGUGAGGAAUAUUGGUCAAUGGACGCAAGUCUGAACCAGCCACGUCGCGUGAAGGAAGACGGCCCUACGGGUUGUAAACUUCUUUGUAAGGGAAUA
rnacentral:rRNA from 1 species